UUGGAACUCCUGGUUUGGUCUCCUCGGUCCCUUGAGACCAAUUUGAAUAAAUGUAUGAUUAUGUGAGUCUUUCUAUUCAAGAGUAAUGAUCUGCAAUGGGUAUCUAUUCUUUGUUGAAUUCUUAGACGUCAUCUGCUCCAUAUGUCAUAGGCAGGAUCCAUCCAUAUUUAUUUAUUUUA